GGAAGAGGAAUACACUGGGGGGUGGGGGUAGGGAAGGGAAAAGGUUAGGGGAAAUUAUCUCAUGUGAUUAGUUUACACAUGAGUUGACAUCUAUAUAAACAAGGAGGAGAUGGGCGGGGAGAAGCUGACACUUCCACCUUAUUUGCAUUUGAACUGGUUAAAGGAAGGAAGAACACACGGGCCACUGUGUAAAUAUGCUGACUUUCAAGGACAGUGAUUUGUAUUCUCAUCAGAACCAUCUACAAAACAUAUUCGCUAGUCGGCAAGUUCUUCCUUCAUCUCACCAAAACUCUUGCUCAGCCAGGAACCAUGCCAUGUUCCUUCGGUACUUCUCAUUUCAUCAACUUUCACCCUUUUUGGAUGUACCACAUUUGCAACAACUCUGACAAGCCGACAGCCAGGGAGGAGUGAACAAAAUGUCCAAAGCUGGCCACAGCAUAAAGCUUCCACAAGUGAAUAUUACAGAUGCUAUUCAGUCUAUACUGACUACCCUAUAACUUCUGAAUGUAAUGGAAGGAGGCAACUAUACACUGGGUGUAUGCAUUUGUGGCCUAGAUAUUUCUGCAAUUACUUCUUAUCUAUUCUCAAGGUUGGAGUUUUCCUCGUUUAGCUUAAAGGACCUGAGCCAGCUGGCUGUUUUCUGCAGAGGGUGCUCCUAUUUCCAUAUUUUAUUUCCCCAAUUUUAUAGAGAACCAACCUUAAAGACAGGCUACACAGUUUAUUGCAGUUUUUUAUUACCAUCUUCUCGGUUCUUUUAAUCACAGGAUCUCAAUUAGUUCUGCACUUUAAAAUUAUGUAUUGUGUAUUUUAAUGGCUUACUACAAAGGGUGCAAGGCACUAUAAUAAACAACUUUCCUCUACAUCUGGAAUAGCUUUUUGAAAUAACUUUAUAAUUCAGAGGAAGGCAAUGUCCAUUUUUACUCAGGUGUCUUUUGAGCUCCCCUUCUGUCCCCUGUUUGUCCUUCCACUAUUGCAGUUUACGACUAGAUACAGAUUUUAGAAUGACUCUAAGAACUACACAAAGUAUAUUAGGCAAAUCCCAUUAAGUAAAGUUCCCAGAAGAAUUAGGCUAGUCCUGCCCAGACCUGCCUCCAGUUCUGAUACCUUGCUGUUUAGCAGUUUUCAAGAGCUGAAACCAAGGCCUAGCUUGUAGGAGAUGUUAGUUGCUCUUAAAAUGAAGAAUGGUGUCCUGGAAAGGAUACUGGACCCGGCACCAGCAAAUUUCUGGGUUUAAAUUCCACUUCUGACAUGUAUUAGCUAUGUGACCAUAAGCAAGUAUCUAAUACCUUCUAAGCCUCACUUUCCUUAUCUGUAAAAUGGAGAUAAAAAUAACAUGAACCUCACAGGUUUGUGGUAAGAAUUAAACAUGGAAAUGCACAGAAAACACUUUAUAAAUCUUCAAAGUGCUAUAUAAAUAUUAGCUAUCUCAAUUAUACUAACAGGCUAGGAGUAGAGAUCCUUAACCUACCCUCAUGAUCCCUUGUGGAUCUAUCCUUUCUGGGUCUAACCCUGAGCCUCACUUCUCCCACUUUGUCCAGGGGACGUCUGCAUUCUAGCACAUCUCUCAUGUCACUUUUUGUUCAGCUUGAAUAAAUCAUCUGGUGGGGACAACAUUUUGGUCAGUGCCUGGCUAUUCCUCACACAAGAUACUGCAUCUCCCGGCUCAGGGCAUUUUCUAUGGUUGUCUCCCAUCCCUGGAAUGAUUUCUUCUCACCUCUGCCUCCUGGAAUUCUUGGCUUCCUUAAGCUUCCAGAAAAAAUCAUAUUAAGAAAGCUUUUCCCGAUCCUCUUUAAUACCAGUGCCUUCCCUCUGAGAUUAUAUCCAAUUUAUCUUGUUCACCACUUGUCUGUACACAAAUGUUUGUGUGGUAUUUCCCCCUAUUAGACAGACUGUGUAGUCCUUGGGAGCAAGGACUGCCUUUGGACUUUCUUUGUAUCCCUAGCACUUAGUACCUAGCAGACAGCAGACCCUUAAUAAAUGCUUGUUGACUUGACAAGGUUAAAGCAAAUAGUUAAAAUGAGGUUUCAGGAUUCAUUUUAGGUCUUUCUUUUUAGAAAAGCUAUACUUCUGUCCCACCACUAAUGAUAAUUAAACACUGUCUAUAUAAAGGAACUGUCCGUAUAAAUAUUUGCUACUAACUAAACAAAGUUUGAUUCUGCUAAAUGACAUCUUGACAUCUAUUUGUGCAUGUAGCAUCACAAUCUGGAAAGGAAAUCACAAUGAAAAACCACACUGGUGGCUUCCUAUCUCCCAAAUCAAAACAACAGUUUUUAUUUGUAAACAGUUGUCAUUGGGAGACAUUCUGCUGUCACUGAGAGGAUCAGAGUCAAAAAUCAAGUGCAGCGUCUAUUUUACAAUCUUAAAAAAAAAAACCCAUGGGGAAGACACAUAUGCCUCUUUUAAUUCUUACUAAUUCUUUGUAUCUUUAGUAUCUUUCCUGUGGUCCCUAAUAAAUGUGGGGAAGGGAAAGGAGGCACAGAUGCUGCUGGAAAGUUUGCCAUCUUCCAAAUUACUCAGCAGGCUUAGAGUUCCAGAGACAAUAUUCCUUUUCUACUCUCAAUCACUGAGAAAUUAAGAAAAGGAAUCUAGGGUAUAGGAAGUCCAGGGGGAAAGGGAGAAAAAGGAGGGGAAAAGUCUUGUCUUUCUGUUAACUGGGAACCCAUUUAUUCCAUAGGGGAGAGGAAAAGAAUCUUGACCACAGCCAAGGAUUUAAUCCUUUUUGAUCUGUGUUAACUGAGGAUUCAUUUUCUUGAAGUGACCAUAAUACCGACCUUUGGGAAAAAUGAAAACAAAAAAUAGUAGAGAAUGCAGAGCCCACAAUUAUUCAAACCAGAAUUAGUACUGAGCUGCAGACGGAGGAAGUUCCGCGAGUUAUUUAAUGAUCUUUCGGGUCACUGACUUGUGUGGCAUAGGAAAAAAAAACAAAAACCAAUCACCUUCUGGUUGGUCCUCUUCACAUCAACAAACAUUUAUUAAUUGAAGAGAAUAAAUUUCUAAUAAGAUUUUAGUUUGUCUAGGAGGUACUAGACAACUAUUUUAUUCUGUGUACAUUAGAGCUAAGAGUACUUACACAGCACAGUGUCUGGCAUAUAAUAGGACUUAAUUCUAGUUUACUGAGUAAAACUUUCAAAUCAAGUGCAAUUUGUAUAUUUGACACAGCUAGCUACUCUUUGGGAGCUUUUGCCUCUCACAAAAAGGAGCAAAAAUUUUUUCCCAUUUAAAAAAAAUGGAAUGCUUCAUUGGCCAAAAAGGAAUUGAGGUGUGAAUGGUGUUGGUGGCAAGAAGAGUCAAAAGAUCUCGGUUUCAGUCCCAGCCUCUCUCCUUAUUACCUGUCUUCGAACUUGAACAAGUCUCUUUUUCUCAUGGGCCACUUGUAAAACAAGACUAGAUGACAUCUAAGGACCCUUUGAGCUCUAAAAGUCUAUAAUUCUAUUAAUUUUAUAAAUUUAAGGAAAAAUAAAAGAAACUACAGAUGAGACCUUUGCAUAGUGAAAGCUCUCAAAAACGACAGAAGCAACACCAUUGAAAUAGUGAAUAUCAUAUUAGAAAUAUAGAGAAGGUCACUGUGAAAGCUUAAGCCUUUUAAAAUGUCUUCCAAACCUAAUUAUGUUCAUAGAAGCUGAGACUCAGGCCUGGACUUCUAUCUUUUUGAAAAAUAUUAGAAAUAUAUUAUUGUAAACAUUAUUUCCCACAAAUACACACAAAAAAAUCAAGCAAAUGACCAAAAAGCAGUUAUUUUUUACACAAAACCUUAUAACAGCUAGAAAGGGUUAAAUUUUAAAGUAGGAUUAAGAUC